GAGAGAGAGAGAGAGAGAGAGAGAGAAAGAGAGAGAGAGAGAGAGAGAGAGAGAAUCGAGACUGAAGAGUCCCAGGGAGAGAUGGGAGAAUGCUGACUCUUCAGCAUCUCUGAUUGGUUGACCAGUAGUGACCUUACUUCCCUAAAUCAGUUCUAUCCAAUCCAGUGUCUGAGUGGAUGCACAUCUCACCAUCUCACCGAAGAGGAAUUGUGCUCCUGCUCAGAGCUGCCCCACUAUACAGAAUGGCUCUCCCAUAGGCUCUGAGAAGGGACUUUCCGCUGGCUGCCAGUGAGGUUCAGUGUCUGGGGGCCAAAGAGAGAACACAGGUGCAUUCCUCAGUGCAUCGCAGGGUGCUUGUUACAUUUAGAAACCAUAACAGAACUCCAAGAAACGGGGCGAGGCUUUUCCAGUAAUUGUGCCUUUAGAAUACUAGUCCCUACACCCUGCCGCCUACCGAAUACAUGGCAGCCCCUGCUCUGUUACCUAGGACUGCCUGGCCUCUGAGUCCAGUCUCCUGAUUCAGCUGUGUGUAUGGCAGUCAGGAAGAGGGCCUGACUACUGUCCUGUGCCUAUCAGUGUCACUGGGGACUCUCAGGCAGGCGUUUUUCCAAAGAUAACAGAACCUUUGUUAGCAGCAACUGAGAAUCUUCAUAGCUCAGCUAACUCUGUAGCGAGAAGCCCCCAUGCAGGGUUUAGGGAAAGUCCAGCUUGGAGAGUAAGUGUCUUCAAGAGCAGGGGACUGGCCUACAGAACCUGACAGCAUUAGAGUCCACAGGCUGAGCAGGUAUGACAUCCUUGGUGUUCCUCCACUCCCAGCUGGACACCCCCAGUCAACGUGAUGUCUCCAAUCACGCAUAGUUUAAUUCACAUCUAGGUCAGGUGCUGCUGCCAGAGAAGUCAGCCUGUCCUCGGCUAUGGAGACUUCUCUCUCCUGGGAAGGAGGAAACGGAGUGUUUAUAGCUCCCGGACACUGCAGGUUAGCCCUGAGGGGAAUGUGCCCACUGAGAGGCGCCCCUCCCAGGGUCUGGCCCCAGUUCUGUUGGACAGCUGAGGGCACUUGGGCUGAGGCUUCCCACAGACAUUAAAGAAGCUGGAAAAGGAGAGCGUCACCGCUGCGGCCCGAGGGGGCAGCAUGGCAGCCAGCUCUCUGGAUGAACAGGAAGCAGGUGCAGACACAGUGAGCCAGAAACACAGAAGAUCUGGCCUCAGUGGGGGUCACUGUCUUAGGGACAGCUGGGGCUCAUGGAGUCUUCUGCUAGGAGGGUGUGGCACUUGAUCACUGGGAGACUUGAAUGGUUGGAACCAGAGUAGAAGAGAGGCGGGAGGGGAAUGUCAGAGGACCUCAGGUCCCUGGAUUAGCUCUCUUGCUAGCUCUGAGAACAAACCCCAAACACAGUGGAUCCUGGUGGCUGCAGUGUAUUUCCCUCCUGUGGCUGGGCUGGCCCUGGCAGCUCUGCCUUCUCACCAGGGCCACAGGGAAGGACAGCCCCUCUCGCCCUCACUUCCCAGGACACAGACAGAGAGCAAGGGCAGCAAGACAUCCGUAGUCCCCAAAGCCGCUCAAGUGUGCCAAAAACGGCAGGUCAUAUGCCCGUGGCCUGUGGGUGGAAGUCCAGAGUACAGGGAGCCAGGCUGAGGUGGGGGUGGAGAACACAACUUCACCCAUCUGUGCUCCUGGAGGACCCAUAUGGGCUAUGUGAGCGAUGUAAGGCCGGGCUGCCUGUGGGGCCUUUUGUGACUGCUGGAAGAAUGUCCUGGGCUGAAAGCAAUUAUUUUCCUAUUCCUAGAAUGGUUCUGUCUGUCUCAGAGAAAGAGAAAAAGGACAGGGAAGGGGGAAAGAACUCCUCUGUUUGUCUCUCUGUCCCUCUCUCUGCUUUCUACCCAUCUCUGUAUGUCUCUGUCUCUAUCUUCCUUUCUCUGUGUCUAUAUCCCUGUCCGUUUGUCUGUCUCUGUAUUCUCUGUUUUCUUGAUGUCUGCCUCAAUCUCUCUAUCUCGGUCCCUCUAUUUCAAUCUCUCCUUGUCUCUGUUGCUCUUCUUUCUCUUUCCUCCCUCUCUCCUACCCCUUUCCCUCUUCCUUCCUUUCUAGUUUUCUUUCCCUCUUCUCUUCCCCCCUCCUCUCAAACUAUUUGAAAAUAGGCCACAUGGACAUUGUCAUAGUCAAUGUGUCAUCCAGGCUUUGUCCUAUGGAACUGUCCUUUGCUAGGGAGCAUCAAGAAAUGAACUGGAGACCUGCUUCCCUUCAGCAGUCACUGCUGGCCCUGAUACCAGAGCAGGUUCCUGCACUAUGACCUCAGUUCUCUGCUGCUGAGGUGGUGCUGGUGCCCUGUGCAUUCCUGGCCCUCAUACCCUGUCAUUACCGGACAAUUCCUUAGCACCCCCCACACACACACCUACCAUGUGCUAGUCCCUGGCAGGAGGGCUGUGUCUGGGCAAGUGUUCUGACCCAGCUUGUAGACUCAGCUCUCACUUUCAGAGCUGAGGAACUCAGGCCACGGAGGGAGGCCAGUAUUCUUCUUUCAUGGUUGUUGAUACGUUUGCCAAGGCUGGCCAGGGGAGGGCAUGAGGAUAGAGACCUGACGGUGUCACCAUGGGUGACAGAAACACGGGUCUUCUGAGAUCUUACCAGCUUCAGGAGCAAGAGCUGCAGAGAGAUCCGACUGAUUUCCAGAGGUCAUCAGAAUUUAGAGUUGUAUAGGUUGCACACUCCCAGCACUCAAGAGAUUGUUACCAAGACAUCCAAGGGACAAGAACACUACCAUGUUUUGGGGGCUUUGCCCUGAGAAUGUCUCACCACACUGCCUGGGCCAUACCUGGUCAUCUUCCAAAGCCAAGCAGCUCACACACACAGGGAGUGGGGGUAGCAUGCCCCUGUGGGCUUCUGUGAAGACCCAGUGACAUCCUAUAUGGCAGAUCCCCAGGACUGUCUGCGUACAGCACCUGCUCCAUCAGUGUGAUGAUUAUUCAGUGACAAAUGUGGGCGAGCCCUUGCUUCAGGGGAAAUCGUGUAACACUGGGGUUUGAGUUUCUCCUUAAGAACACUGGCUGUUGGCUGGCACCAUGGAUGCUUAAUGUAAAUGCCUAUGUUCUUCCCCAAUCCAAGGAUCACUUCUGGAAAUGCUGUGUAGCACACUAAAUCAAAGGACAGUUACUCCAGCUCUUCCCGAGGUCCCUCACAAAUGCCUAUGGGAGAGUCAGCCCUUCUACCAAAUCUGGAAAAAGACUCUCAGCAGGACUUUGCUUUGGACCUGGAAGGGUUGGGAGGGAUUAGCUCGAACCUCUCAGCUCCUCAGAUCAGCUCAGGUGGAGCAAUUUGGUACAGGUGAGAGAGACUGAGAUACAGAUGAAGAGACUCGGGUGCAGGUGAGAGAGACUGAGGUACAAGUGAAGAGGCUCAGGUACAGGUGAGAGGUGCAGGUGGAGAGGUUCAUGUGCAGGUGGAGAGGCUCAUGUGCAGGUGGAGAGGUUCAUGUGCAGGUGAAGAGGCUCAUGUGCAGGUGGAGAGGUUCAUGUGCAGGUGAAGAGGCUCCAGUGCAGGUAAGAGAGGUUCAGGUGCAGGUGAGAGGCUCAGGUGCAGGUGGAGGGGCUUGGGUGCAGGUGGAGAGGUUCAGGUGCAGGUGGAGAGGCUCAGGUGCAGGUGGAGAGGCUCAUGUGCAGGUGGAGAGGCUCAUGUGCAGGUGGAGAGGCUCAUGUGCAGGUGGAAAGACUCGUGUGCAGGUGGAGAGGCACAGGUGCAGGUGGAGAGGCAUGGUGGAGAGACUCAUGUGCAGGUGGAGAGGCUCAUGUGCAGGUGGAGAGGCUCAUGUGCAGGUGGAAAGACUCAGGUGCAGGUGGAGAGGCACAGGUGCAGGUGGAGAGGCACAGGUGCAGGUGUAGAGGCUCAGGUGCAGGUGGAGAGGCUCGGGUGCAGGUGGAGAGCCACAGGUGCAGGUGAAAGAGAAUCAGAUGUGGGUUGGAGCUGGAAGGCUAGUUCUGUAUUCACUGUACACCUCUGUUGCAAUCACACUCUCUAUGGGGUGAUCAGACGUGUGUUUCUCCAGUUCUCUGUCACUUUAGACAAGCACCAAUGUGGGUAGGGUUAGCACUUCUUUCCACCUGGGUGAAUGCUUGCCAUUCGAUGUCAGCUUAGUUCCCAGGGACCUUGUUUAAUGGCCAGUUCUCUGGCAAGUUCUAUGUGAGUUGCAUCAACUACAUUUAGUACUCCUUAGCUAUGACUCCCCACAUAGACUCACAAGGAAUAUGAGCUUGGGGUCAAAUCUCCAAGUCAUGGCACAAUGACCUGACCUGGUGAGGGUGGGAGACAGCCCCUGGCCGGUGGUACUGAAGGCUUCCUACUUAUUUCUGGAACUACUUGAACAGUCCCAGGCUUCAUUGUUGCAAACGCCCUGGAUUCCAUUUCCUUUCAAAAGCCCAGCUAAGUUAAGCUCCUCCAAUUCAGGGCAGCAAUUGUGAACCCUGGAACAUUACUCACCUAAAGCAGACUCGGGAGCUCUUCAAAACCAUUAUGGUUAUAUGUCUACUGUAGAUUGCCCCACCCAGAAGGGAUCUCCACUUCUGGGGAGCCACUUUCACUUCUCCGUGACAUCUGGCUGACAGCAGCCCCAGAGAAAUGUCAGAGGGCUCAGGGACAUCACAUCUUGCAUGAAAGCCCAGCUCCACAGCCUGCCCAGCACAGGUUGCUGGCUGAGCCCACUUUGUCAUUUGAAACGGUGACAAUGACUGUCACCACAGCAUGCCAGGCUUGUUCCUGUACUCAUCCUUUAUUCCUCACAGAGGAAAAUUACUAUUGUUAAGCCCAUUUUGCAGGUGAGAGAGCUGAGCCACAGAAAGGCUCAUUAGCUGGUUCACCAUCUCAUGGAAGUUCAUGGCAAAGCUCAGCUUGACCCCAAGGUCUGUCUACAUGGAGAGUGGUCACUUGAGGCCUUCCUCCACUUGGGGACAUCUGCCUGUCAGACAGACAGCAAGAAAGGUUUAACGGUAUUUGGCCAUGUAGUGUGCCUAACAAAGCCAAUUAUGUCCUCCAUGUUACAUCUGGCGUGGAGCUUGGGGCCAUGCAGCCCCUUGUCUCUAGCACUAAGUAGGGUAUUCAAUAAAAGUCUGUGAUUUUUGUGGACUGGACUGGCUGGAAUGGUAGUUGUUGAGAAACGUUAAGCAUCCCUUACCUUUGUAUAGUGGGGAGCAAGUGCGUAUGACUUGGGCAGACACAGCCGUGGCUCUGAAACUGUGUGAAAUAGGCAAGGCAGGGCGAGUAAGACAGAGCCUUCGCAUCUCUGCAUGCUGAAUCCAGCCAGACCACUGGGUGUGACUAGCCUGCAGUACCAGCUUUCACUGAGAGAUGGUGCCCUUCCCCAACAGUUGUAAUUUGCUGGCACUCGCCCCAAACCGGAGGCACCAAUGAAGGCCAUGUAUUAACCAGAGGAACAACUCCAAUUGACUUCUUGAGCCAGCAAGCCUCACACCAAGCACUCAGGCCAGGAUCAUCUUGGCUGUUGUUGAAUUUUUCUCCGCAAAUAGGGACAUAAAACAGAAAGGCGAGCCCUAGGAAGGUGUCACAUCCCUCUUGACAGAUAUCUGCAAGUCUCCCGUUGUCCUGACAUCUCUUUCAACCCCUCUUCCAGGGAGUCUCUAAUCGACCAGGUGGGAAAGAGUGCAGUGGGAGCUGGGGAAUAGGAUGUCUUUCUUUAACCCGGGCUAGGACAACUUGGAGGAAUGCCCACGGGCACUGGCUUUCCUCGGCUUCUUAGAAGGCUGCUGCAAAGUCAAAAGCACUAUUAAGGUGUGCCGGCUGUGCUGUUGUACUGAGACUUACAAGUCUUGGCACACAUGCUGCUAAAGCUCGCCCGGCCGCUGAGCUGGAUUCCUGAGAGGGACCCCUGCCCAUCUAGGCCCACAGCACAAACGCCCGCCAUCCUGGGUGUGGUCCCUCUAGUGCCUGCUGAGCCCUAAGCUUCCAGCAGCUCCUGAUGGUAGGUGGGCGCACUCUCCUGCACCCCCUACUGUGCACAGCGGGCAAACCAACCCCCUCUCUGUUUAAACCUGCUCCCAAAAGCCCAGGGAGGUCCCCGCUAGAAAUUCCAACUGUCCCUUCCUUCAGAGAUAGUUGCCCAAGGUUCCCGGGAGUGUCUUUCACUUUGUAGCUACCUCUUUACUCCUGCGCUGGCACCGGAGACCUCACCCGAGCUUCUCUUCCCCUCUGGGGCUCAGGGGAAGCCCCAAACUGACCGGGACUCAAUCCAACUGGGAAGACAGACCCCAGCAGUAAGGGUGGUGUGGCCCAUCCUCAGGGGGACCCUUAGCCACAAGCAGGCCUGAGCGAAACCGGGCCUCAACGAGACAGGGUCGUGAGUGUGGCCGAGAGAGUUGAGGAGGGAGAACAGUGGACCGGUGCCAUGCGAGAUUUGGGGGCUUUUAUUUUUUUACGGUUUAGGGCAGCGUUUUGUCUGUCCUCCUGAGUGACCCUAACUCUUCGGCCGACGGGUUUGCAGACCUCGCUGCCUGCAGCCAGGGGGCGGCGGGGAGCCGGAGCUCGGAGAAAAAAAUCCACCCAUUUCCUGGGCAGAUUGCGUCGGCCGCCGCCCGGCCGUGUCCCCGCCUCCCAGCCGCGGCCCCCGCGCACAGCCCGC